AGUGAACGCUGGCGGUAGGCCUAACACAUGCAAGUCGAACGGCAGCACAGUAAGAGCUUGCUCUUACGGGUGGCGAGUGGCGGACGGGUGAGGAAUACAUCGGAAUCUACUUUUUCGUGGGGGAUAACGUAGGGAAACUUACGCUAAUACCGCAUACGACCUACGGGUGAAAGCAGGGGAUCUUCGGACCUUGCGCGAUUGAAUGAGCCGAUGUCGGAUUAGCUAGUUGGCGGGGUAAAGGCCCACCAAGGCGACGAUCCGUAGCUGGUCUGAGAGGAUGAUCGGCCACACUGAAACGGAGACACGGUCCAGACUCCUAGGGGAGGCAGCAGUGGGGAAUAUUGGACAAUGGGCGCAAGCCUGAUCCAGCCAUACCGCGUGGGUGAAGAAGGCCUUCGGGUUGUAAAGCCCUUUUGUUGGGAAAGAAAAGCAGCAGGUUAAGACCCCGCUGUUCUGACGGUACCCAAAGAAUAAGCACCGGCUAACUUCGU
rnacentral:rRNA from 1 species